GAAUUCGCCCUUAGAGUUUGAUCCUGGCUCAGGACGAACGCUGGCGGCGUGCUUAACACAUGCAAGUCGAACGAGAAUCUGCUGAAGGAGGAUUCGUCCAACGGAAGUAGAGGAAAGUGGCGGACGGGUGAGUAACGCGUGAGGAACCUGCCUUGAAGAGGGGGACAACAGUUGGAAACGACUGCUAAUACCGCAUAACGCAUAGAGGUCGCAUGAUCUUUAUGCCAAAGAUUUAUCGCUUCAAGAUGGCCUCGCGUCUGAUUAGCUGGUUGGCGGGGUAACAGCCCACCAAGGCGACGAUCAGUAGCCGGACUGAGAGGUUGAACGGCCACAUUGGGACUGAGAUACGGCCCAGACUCCUACGGGAGGCAGCAGUGGGGAAUAUUGGGCAAUGGGCGCAAGCCUGGCCCAGCAACGCCGCGUGAAGGAAGAAGGCUUUCGGGUUGUAAACUUCUUUUAAGAGGGAAGAGCAGAAGACGGUACCUCUAGAAUAAGCCACGGCUAACUACGUGCCAGCAGCCGCGGUAAUACGUAGGUGGCAAGCGUUGUCCGGAUUUACUGGGUGUAAAGGGCGUGCAGCCGGGUCUGCAAGUCAGAUGUGAAAUCCAUGGGCUCAACCCAUGAACUGCAUUUGAAACUGUAGAUCUUGAGUGUCGGAGGGGCAAUCGGAAUUCCUAGUGUAGCGGUGAAAUGCGUAGAUAUUAGGAGGAACACCAGUGGCGAAGGCGGAUUGCUGGACGAUAACUGACGGUGAGGCGCGAAAGUGUGGGGAGCAAACAGGAUUAGAUACCCUGGUAGUCCACGCCGUAAACGAUGCUCACUGGAUCUUGGCGAUACACGGCCAGGGUUCAAGCGAAAGUAUUAAGUGAGCCACCUGGGGAGUACGUCGGCAACGAUGAAACUCAAAGGAAUUGACGGGGGCCCGCACAAGCGGAGGAACAUGUGGUUUAAUUCGAUGAUACGCGAGGAACCUUACCCGGGUUUAAAUGCAGGUUGCAUGAGGUGGAAACACCUCUUUCCCUCGGGACUACCUGCAAGGUGCUGCAUGGUUGUCGUCAGCUCGUGCCGUGAGGUGUCGGGUUAAGUCCCAUAACGAGCGCAACCCCUAUCGCCAGUUGCCAUCGGUUCAAGCCGGGCACUCUGUCGAGACUGCCACCGUAAGGUGCGAGGAAGGCGGGGAUGACGUCAAAUCAGCACGGCCCUUACACCCGGGGCGACACACGUGUUACAAUGGCCGGUACAGAGGGCAGCCACGGGGCGACCCGGAGCGAAUCUCUAAAGCCGGUCGUAGUUCGGACUGGAGUCUGCAACCCGACUCCACGAAGUUGGAUUCGCUAGUAAUCGCGCAUCAGCCAUGGCGCGGUGAAUACGUUCCCGGGUCUUGCACACACCGCCCGUCA
rnacentral:rRNA from 1 species